rnacentral:rRNA from 1 species
GACGAACGCUGGCGGCGUGCUUAACACAUGCAAGUCGAACGGUGAAACCCUUCGGAGGGGAUGAGUGGGGAAGGGGUGCGUAAGAGGUGGGCAAGAGGAACCCGGCCCUGGGAUAACUCCAAGAACUUGGGGCUAAUACCGGAAGCUCACAGCUUCUCGCACGGGUGGUGGUGAAAAGGGUAUCCGGCUGGGGAUGGGCCCGCGGCCUAUCAGCUUGUUGGUGGGGUAGUGGCCUACCAAGGCGACGACGGGUAGCCGGCCUGGGAGGGUGACCGGCCACACUGGGACUGAGACACGGCCCAGACUCCUACGGGAGGCAGCAGUGGGGAAUAUUGCGCAAUGGGCGGAAGCCUGACGCAGCGACGCCGCGUGGGGGAUGACGGCCUUCGGGUUGUAAACCUCUUUCAGCAGAGACGAAGCGCAAGUGACGGUACCUGCUGAAGAAGCACCGGCCAACUACGUG